rnacentral:rRNA from 1 species
UGUGGCUUAAUUUGACUCAACGCGGGAAAUCUUACCGGGUCCGGACACACUGAGGAUUGACAGGCAAUAUCUCAUGUUAACGGUAAGUUUACUUACCGCUUACAUCGAGUGUUAAAUAUGCUAGUCCUUUCAUGAUUAUGUGAUAGGUGGUGCAUGGCCGUUCUUAGUUCGUGGAGUGAUCUGUCUGCUUAAUUGCGUUUCACUAAGGGCCCAUAAAUUCAAGGUAUGUUAGCUCUCGUCGCUCUAUGGACCCCUUAACUCCAAUAUUCUUAUUGUGUUAAGCGCGUGUCUUUAUUUUAAGAGUUUUAAGACACUGCCAUGCUGUUGGGCUCUGAAAGCAACGAACGUGACCGCAACGUCUUGUUGCCUUAAACUA